UACAGAGGGGGCAAGCGUUGUUCGGAAUUACUGGGCGUAAAGGGCGCGUAGGCGGCCCGCUAAGUCGAACGUGAAAUCCCCGAGCUCAACUCGGGAACUGCGUCCGAUACUGGCGGGCUUGAAUCCGGGAGAGGGAUGCGGAAUUCCAGGUGUAGCGGUGAAAUGCGUAGAUAUCUGGAGGAACAUCGGUGGCGAAGGCGGCAUCCUGGACCGGCAUUGACGCUGAGGCGCGAAAGCGUGGGUAGCAAACAGG
rnacentral:rRNA from 1 species